rnacentral:rRNA from 1 species
UAGGGAAUCUUCCACAAUGGGCGAAAGCCUGAUGGAGCAACGCCGCGUGUGUGAUGAAGGGUUUCGGCUCGUAAACCACUGUUGUAAGAGAAGAAUGACAUUGAGAGUAACUGUUCAAUGUGUGACGGUAUCUUACCAGAAAGGAACGGCUAAAUACGUGCCAG